AGUGGCUCCCUGUGCCGGGUGCAGUGUGGGGUGCUAUGCCCGCCUGUUCUGUUGAAGCCUCAGAAGGACCCUGUGAGGCAGAAACUCUUGCCAUCCCGUUUUACAGUAUCCCUGUCCCUCGGAGGACUGUGGCUCCCAGGCUAGGCCAGGCUUUAUCAUCACAGAGGAGACGGGAAUCCUCUGGGAGACGGCGACUAUGGAUCCAGCGUUGAGGGGAUAAGGAGAGGAAAAGCUGCUGGAGGCGAAGCUUCCUGCCUUUGCGUCCGGCCAUACAGAGCUGCGCACAGUUCCCCAGCCUGUACCCGGCCUCCCUGCUCCCAGGCGUUGCACAGCUGAGCCCCUGCUCUGAUCACUCCCCUAAUGCCUACCCAUCCUUCAAGUCUUCGAUGCUGCCUCCUCCUGGGAGUCCUCGUACUCCCUCAGCAUUUGCUGUUUUCCUCUUGAAGGACAGCAUCGGGGUACAGGGCCACUGUCCACCUGGUGUAAUCCUUAGGUCCCGUCUAUUUUCCCCACUCGUCCCUGCCCUCCUUGAGGAUGAAGGCUCUGGCUUCAUCCUGAACCCCAGUGCCCAGGACAGUGUGUGGCAUACUGUCAGGGAUGUUGGCUGCUGAAAGCAACAUUAGUCACUGCACACGCUGCGAUCUGAAAUCCCUGUAUACACGCUCCCCACAGGGGACACCACAGGACCCUCAGAUUAACUACACAUGUAUUUAAUCUUCUCGGGAUUCAGUCUCAGUCAUUCCCAGGGCCUCCAACAGCCUCCAGCAAAGAUAAAUGUCCAACCAAUGUUGAAUGAAUGAAAGAAGAACCAACAUAAGAUAAAUGUCCGAGAGCACCCCUGGAGAAGGCUCACUGUGGCGGUGGCAGAUGUGGAGAGUUAGACGGCAGACAGGAGAUAGAGCCAUGGGAGCAAAUUGAGAGCAGGAAGAGAAACUUACUGAACACCUCCUAUGUAUUGGUACUGCCCCAGGUAUCUUGGGUUCAUUAUUCCACUUUCUCCUCAUCUU
rnacentral:lncRNA from 1 species